rnacentral:rRNA from 1 species
GAGCCCUAGACAGCCGGGAGGUGAGCUUAGAAGCAGCUACCCUCUAAGAAAAGCGUAACAGCUUACCGGCCGAGGUUUGAGGCGCCCAAAAUGAUCGGGACUCAAAUCCACCACCGAGACCUAUCCGUACCACUUAUACUGGUAAUCGAGUAGAUUGGCGCUCUGUUUGGAUGGAAGCAGGGGCGAGAGCUCCUGUGGACCGAACAGUGACGAAAAUCCUGGCCAUAGUAGCAGCGAUAGUCGGGUGAGAACCCCGACGGCCUAAUGGAUAAGGGUUCCUCAGCACUGCUGAUCAGCUGAGGGUUAGCCGGUCCUAAGUCUCACCGCAACUCGACUGAGACGAAAUGGGAAACGGGUUAAUAUUCCCGUGCUACCAUACAUUGAAAUCUGACGCCCUGGGGUCGACCAUGCCGGGCUUUCGCCCGGUCGAAUCGUCCAACUCCGUGGAAGCCGUAAUGGCACGAAGCGGACGAACGGCGAGAUAGAGAAAUAUGGUUCAACCUGGGGCCCGUGAAAAGGAGAGUAUGGUAUCCGUACCGAGAACCGACACAGGUGUCCAUAGCGGCGAAAGCUAAGGCCUGUCGGGAGCAACCGACGUUAGGGAAUUCGGCAAGUUAGUCCCGUACCUUCGGAAUAAGGGAUGCCUGCUCCGGAACG